AUGAUUGCAAGACCUUCGGGAAUCCUAUAUAAAUAUCGAACUACCCCACACCCAUUUCUUGACACCUCAGUCCGAUAAGACUUUUCGACACCCUCACAAACCCACAACCUUUUACCAUCCUCUGUUUAACCCGCAACAUCUUUUCGCUCAAACCGCAUACUCGUCGGAGAAGUCGGGUCGUCGCCGGAGAGUUACGGGCCUCGCCGGACCUGCAAGUGGUCGGAGACGUACCGACGCCGGAGUUUACGGAGACCACGACGGAGUCUCGUUCCCGUAUCAGUUCGGGAAAUCCCGUUCGUUCUCUUGGACUAUUCUCAUCUUUACUCGUGCGUACUUACAAGAAAUCGCAACGCAAUCGAUUUGAACGUGUUAAUCUCAAUGCUCUUGAGUCUUGGGGUAUUGCGAUGUUGAACGAUAUGUGAACCAUAUGUGAACGAUGUUGAACGAUAUGUGAACGAUAUGUGAACGAUGUUGAACGAUGUUGAACGAUGUUGAACGAUAUUGAAUGACAAAGUAGUAACAUGUAUCAUUUUAUUCAUGUUGGAUAUGAGUACAUUUUAAACAUUUUAUUCUACUAUGCUAUGUAUCAAACU
rnacentral:lncRNA from 1 species